AAGCUUGGUAAACAGCUUUGGAGAAUUUGAUGUUUCCCCAUUCAAAGAGAUAGGAGCUGCACUUGAGUGCCCCAGAGGCGAUUCAAAGAUGGCCGCAGAGUGAAAUGGGACUUUGCUUUUACACAACAUCUAUUGAUCUAUCUGUUAAACAGUAAUGUGGCACAUUUGCUGUUGUAAUGCAGUAAAUGAGUCCUACAUGUCGCAACAUUCCCUAGUCUGCCUUCUCUUAAAAAAAUACAUUUUUAUCAUGCUAAAAUCUACAUUUAGUUCCCAACGAAAGUAUUGUUUAGUGUAAAAUAGGGUGACCAUAUGUGCCAUUUUCCCAGGACACAUCCUGUCCAGGAUUUCUAAGUUGCAUAAAAUGUAGUUUUGGUUUUGUUUUCAUAUUUGUGGAAGGUAAUGAUUAAAAAAUUCUUUUACCAAUAGCGUGCAUUAUACAUAAUCGACCAAUCGUGGCUUGCGAGAAGGCUGGAUCUACAGAGAACGGUCAAAGCAUUGCAAAUACGACAACAUUUUAAUGCAUUGUAUGAAGACUGUCAAUAAGAACAGUGGCUUGCACAGACCUCCGUUUAGAAAUCACGUUCAGGGGGCACACUGAUAUGACCACUUUCACAAUUAAAGAGGCAAGGGCCCAAGCCAUUUAGAAAUCCUGGACAGGAUGCGUCCUGGGAAAAUGGCACAUAUGGUCACCCUAGUGUAAAACAUGUUAAAGAUUAGUGAACAGGCUGUCGAUUAAUUAAAUGAUUAGCUGUUUCCCCACAAAAGCUGUUUGAUCAGCAUAGUGAAGCCUCUCAUCCAUUGACAUCCUUUCAAAAAAUGGCCUCUGGUCUCCUUCCUUGCGUACCGUCAGAGGCGGAGCGUUAGCAUUAGCCGUUAUGCUUUUUUGGCUAAAGGUUGCAGGCUUGCCUUCCAGUAGCUUUGGUUAUACAUCAUACUGUUUCCUAUGCAACGUUACUUCUAACAAAGAACGGUCUCUGCUUCUAAUAAACCAGACGACUACUACUACUACUUUGUGCGCAUUCAGCGUACAGUCUGCCUCUAAAAACACCAACAAACAUAGUGACGAAACACGCUCUGUAGAGCAGUUUGUCCAUUUAGGGCUACUGUAGAAACAUGCUGGCGCAAAAUGGCGACUUGACAUGGAGGGGGGACCCACGGUGCAUGAGAUAGUUCUGGCUCAUUCUAAGGUAGGUAAUAAAUACCAGUUCAUUAUGUAAGGUCUUUAUACAUCACUCAAAACAUAUUAUAUUGCAUGUCUGUCAAUAAAUCCUCCUAAAUUUUACACAUCGCAACUUUAAACAAAAGUUGCUAGUAUGGGAACUAGUUUGGGAAGUAGUUAUUUGGAUAGAUGUGCAGUGCACAGAUCCUCGGAGGAUCAUCCUCCAGUGACUUCAGUUGGCCAACAUGUGGCUGAGGGGAGCUCAACGUUUGUCAACACAUGCUGUUAAUUGAUAGAGACCUCCAGCGACUGACCAACCUCAUGCAGCUCUCUAAUCGGAUCACUGCGACUGCAGACCUGCAUGAAAGCUUCAUUCUAUUUUCCUGCUGUUCUACCAUAUGACCAUAUGAGGUCGCUGUUUGUCAACAUAUGGAGUAUUAUCAACGCGAGCUGCCAGAACCGCGGCCUCCUCUGCCGAAUCUCAUGACAGGAGUCAGGGCUUCCAGAAGGAAAACCAGCAUGAAGAAAUCUGGAAACCAUUAAGCAACCUGCUAGAGCCAUGAUUUGAACGAAUGAGAGAUAGAGGACGGGAGGGGGAGAAAGGGGGAUGGGUUAACACUGGGACUGGAACAGAAUGAACGAUCAACUUCUUUUUUUUUUUCUUUUCUUCUUUGACUUCAGUCUCUCUAUAGACAGACACACACAAAUACACAAUAGCCUUCAUUGGAUUCCAGUAUGACCCCUCCCAUAUUUUGUUUCCUUUGUCUUUGCAAAGUAGUUUCUCAGGAUUCAUUUCUCGAAUCCUAGAAAGGGUGGGACAUGUCUACAAGCGGGCAGGCGGGAAACUCGCCCAUGGGCUGCAGCUGUGGUCCACACUUCUGUCAUGAUGAUCAUAGAUGGGCGACACCAUAGACACUUCGUUUAGAGCUGACAGGAACCAGACAGCAUGUCCUUUCAGCCUGUCAUAAUGACCGCAUUCAUGUCUGAGGCUUCUCUGCAGAAACAAUAAAACAGAUGAGACAAG